rnacentral:misc_RNA from 1 species
GAGAAAAAAAAUAGUCCGUUUCAUGUUCAUGGCAAUUACAAUCUUGAAUCGAUCAUAUAGAAAUGACUCAACUUCAGUGAUGUUUUUCAUUUGGUGCAACCAAUAUUUUGUCAACUGAGAUAUUAGUCUUAAUAUUGCACUACAAAUUCUGCUUGGAAUUGCUAUAAAACUUAGGUAGCUUGGCAAUAGGCAAUAUAAAUAGGCUGCAAAACUUCAUUGAUUAACCUGUAAGAAAACAUAGCAUUAAGAUGCUUGGUGGAUAAAUUAAGAAAAGGAAAGGAUAAAAAAAUAUUAAAAAAUGUGAAGGAACAAAUCAGAAUUUUUACUUGAUCAGGCAGUCAACAACUGCUCAACGAGUCACCUAAAUUUGGGGCUAAUCUUAUACAACAUCUUAAGACUAAAGCUGGCGUGCCUUCAGGGCCUUGCAGACUAAAGUAUCACAUGAGUAUAAAAAGACCUCUGCUUGAUGGAUCAGGCAGGAGUCGAACUCAGAAGAGGCAUGACUUUGUUUAGCUCAUAGCAUUAUCACUUCUUGGUCAAUCUUUAUGCAAGGAAUAUGAGCGAUUCUGUUCCAGAUUUCCUUAUUCUCCUUCUGGUAGCAAUAUUUCAGUAAAGGGCAUUUCUUUAUAGAUAGGUAAAUUAGAGAAGCUGGAAGCCUCUCUUCUGGGAAGGACUGAAGUUGAAGACAGUUCUUGAUCUUAAACUCUUGAAGAGAGGUGAGAUGCUGUAGUCCAUUCUUAUUCAGGACUCUGAGACUCUGAAGUUGACAGAUGGAAAGUGUGGUCAGAGUGGUGGGCAGCAACCCCUCCUCAGGAAAGGACUCCAAAUCUUUACAACCUCCAAGACAAAAUAUUUUAAGAGAAGGGAGUCUCUGUAAACCCCAUUUUCUCCUGUUGGCAAUGAGUUUAUCGCACCUUGAAAUUAAAACCAUAUUUAAAUUGGAAGGCAAACCUCCCUCAGGAAGAGAUACCAAUUUUGGGCAAUUAGAUAUAUACAAAUCGCGAAGAGAUGGGAGAAGUGUGCUCAUAUGCUCUGGCAGAGAGAUCAAAUUAUUGAAAUUGCAUACUGAAAAAAUUGUUAAGUUUGGGGCACGCAGUCCUCCUUGAGGAAACGAUUGAAAGUUAGGGCACCCCCUUAUUCGCAGGAAACUGAGAUAUGCGAGAUCCCGCUGACCAUCAUCAGGAACUGAAAAGGAUGCAAGUUGAACACAGUUCUGGACACU